GGCUGUUGGAAGAUAGUUAUCUCAACUGAUUGUUCAUAGUUACAGAUGGAACUCCUUGUUCUACUCUUCCCCCUUCUCACUACUACACUUGACUAGUCUUUA
ensembl:misc_RNA Y_RNA Y RNA